AUCAUGACACACCCGAUACUGACCCAUGCACUGACACACCCAAUACUGACCGACCCCACACUGAACCACGCACUGACACACCCGAUACUGACCGGCCCUAUACUGAACCACGCACUGACACACCUGAUGCUGACCCACAAUGACUGACCCGAUACUGACCCAUGCUGACUGACCCGAUACUGACCCACGCACUGACAUACAUCAUACUCACCCACACUGACACACCCAAUACUGACCUACACUGACUGACCCCAUACUGACCCACACCGACUGACCCCAUACUGACCCACACUGUCUGAUCCGAUGCUGACCCAGGCACGGACACAACCAAUACUGACCUACACAGUGACACCCGAUGCUGACCCACACACUUACCGACCCGAUACUGACCCACACACUGAGGCAACAGAGACUGACCCACACUCUCAUGGACUGGAACCGACUGAUGUUAGUGACUGACUGACUUGAUUGACUAGCUAACAGACUGACAGACACACUGACUGACUUGAUUGACUAGCUAACAGACUGACAGACACACUGACUGCUGUCAUGCUUACUAACUGAACACGUGCCGAACAGAUGGACAGACUGCAGUUUCCACUGACAGACAGACAGACAGACGUGUGCAGUUUCCACUGACAGACAGACAGACAGACUUGUGCAGUUUCCACUGACAGACAGACAGAGAGACUUGUGCAGUUUCCACUGACAGACAGACAGACAGACGUAUGUACAUGCGCACAGAUGCAUUGCCGGUCGCUGAUACUGCUGCGGACUGCUCUAUACUGGGACUGCUCUAUACUGGGACUGCUCUAUACUGGCCUGCACUGAAGCUGCAGUAUCGCACGGUCCUCAUCUUCACACUGUUGGUGUACAUAUACCAUAUGCAGUCUACACUGUGAUACCGGCUUUAAUCUCAAACUGUCAUGCUGUACAGAAGACAUGGGCCUGGAACCUCCUUUAUGUAGAAUGUCCCUGCAUGCCUACAGUAGCUAAAGCACUGCACGUCUGGAGUUUGGCCUGAAGGCCACCGCUGUUGCACCUGAGUGGAAAGGCAAACUGCUGAAGUUGUUUUUUUUUUGUUUUUUGUUUUUUGCAAACGACUGAACACAGUGACAUUUUACAGACAUGCAAAUGAGCAUGCCAGAAAGCAACAUGCCCUCAGUAUGAAUGAUUUCUGGCCCAAAAAUAAAAUCACCAACCAGGGGACAGAUAGGGAGAUGAAGGUAGGAGGGUAUGAUCAGAAUGAGGUGAGGUCAGUUUGUGCCAGUGCCUGGGUCAGUGCCAGGGUCAGUGCCUGGGUCAGUGCCUGGGUUAGGGUCAGGGUCAGUGCCUGGGUUAGGUUCAGGGUCAGUGCGAGGGUCAGUGCCUGGGUCUGUGCCAGUGCCAGGACAGCCAGAGGAAGACUGAAGCUGUGGCCCAGGUGUGGCCCAGCUGUGGCCCAGGUGUGGCCCAGUGCCCCACGCACGCUCUCCACACCGUUUCACCUUGCCCUCUGGGCGGAUGCGAGGGGGAACUGUGCUCUGUUUCCACCUCUCUUCUGAGAAACCAAUGCAACACGAAAUGAACUAUUAUUUUUGUAUCUCUUUUUCAUUUUUUUUGCAUGUUGAAGAUCCAACUGGAGUGAAGACUGGAACAUACAAUACUGGACAUACGCGCACUAAACUGCCUGCUCAGGCAAGGGAAAAUAUAUAUUUUAUUACGAUAUUUUAAGUUGUACUUUUAUUGGAUGGAUAACUUAUUUUAUCAUGUUCAAAAAAAAUUAACCAAUUUCCUUUGUUUCCAGACGUGUCAAAUUACAUCAGAUUGCAUUUGCUGCAGAAUAUACUGAACCCGUUUAAACUGCCCUUCUUACAGCCCAGAUUGUAGGAGAGCAUAGAGAGAGCUCAGCUGUCAAUCUUGUGAUGUCAUAAUUAUACCCGUCAUGAGUGGAGUAGUUGGCCCUGCCUGGGACAGCUUGCCUAGCUCACACUCCACACUCAGUCACUCAGCUCUUACUUUCCCGUGCAGUGGCAGUGCCCCUAUUGCCAGACUCGAGCAGGUAAUAGCGACAGCAUGGAAAGCCGAGCGCCUGUCUGAUUCCCGGAAGAGUCGCGCUGACUGUGUGAUUCACACAGCCAGGACCAGCAAUAGGCAGAUUACACAUAUCUACACUCUGAUAUGCAGCCCUCUCAUGGCAAGACAAUGGGGAAAUGCUGAACUAUCCAGCUGGGUCUCUUUUUUGCUUCAUGACACCUUGUCUGUAUUCAUGAUAGCCCCGUUCAUCCCUGUCUGGCCCUGUUCAUCCCUGUUUGGCCCUGCUAAUCUCCAAUUGGCCCUAUUCGGCCCCAUUCAUCCCUGUUUGGCCCUGUUCAGCCCUGUUUGGCUGUGUUCAGCCCUGUUUAGCGCUGUUCAGGCCUGUUUGGCCCUGCUAAUCUUCAUUUGGCCCUGUUCGACCCUGUUAAUCCCUGUUUGGACCUGUUCAGCCCUGUCCAGCCCUGUUCAGCCUGGUUCGACCCUGUUCAGCCCUUUACAGUCAUGUUCAGGCCUGUUGGGCCCUGUUCAACGCUGUUUGGCACUGUUCAUUCCUGUUUGGCCCUGCUCAGCCCGGUACGGCCCUGUUCAGCCCUUUACAGUCUUGUUCAGGCAUGUUGGGCCAUGCAGAGGCAGACUCUGCAUGGUUUUGCUCUCCUGCUCUUUAGCUCUUUUAUCCCUGGUGCCCAGGUGUUGACUCACACCUGAGCACACAGGCCUUCCCAGGCUGCCAGUCCCAGGACAUGUAAAUAUUCCCUGCUCCAGACACACACAUAAACAGAGACAACACUGGCCCACUGAGUAAUGAACUACAGCUGCAUGCCUUCUGACAGCCUGCAGUGCUCCUGCUGGCCACUAGAUGGCAGGCUGCAGCUUGUGCUCAUCCCACACACUGCCUCCAGGUAACCGAAGCGCUCGCUUGCACCCGACUGAUCAGCAGAGGCUAAACUGCACUGCUGAGGGCAGCGGAAGGCUUAUCGUGCCGCUGCUCUCUCCCGUUCCGUCCCGCAGAGUCCGCGUGAUGUCUCUCCGUCGUGUUUUAACUGGUGUGGCAGUGUGAGUACCCCAUGUGCAGCCAGCCCAGCUGCUCCAACACUCCACCCAGCCGCUCUCCCCACUGGCACACUGCACCCCCUGCCCUCACCGGUAACGCUCCCGAACCGCACCACAAUGUUAGCAGGACGUUAGCCCACUCUGUGCGCCAUGCCUGUGUGUUGCUGUCUGUGUCUUAGGGCCGGAAUGCUAAAAAUACAAAUGCAAAACCUAUUAUAUUUAAAUAAUCAUAUUUGGGGGGGGGGGGGGUGAACUAAUAAUAAAGAAGUACACUGAAAGAUU